UGGCUCAGGAUGAACGCUGGCGGCGUGCUUAACACAUGCAAGUCGAACGAAGCAUCUGGCUUUGAUUUCUUCGGAUUGAUUAGCCUUAUGACUUAGUGGCGGACGGGUGAGUAACGCGUGGGUAACCUGCCGUAUGCAGGGGGACAACAGUUGGAAACGACUGCUAAUACCGCGUAAGCGCACAGCAUCGCAUGAUGCAGUGUGAAAAGAUUUAUCGGCAUACGAUGGACCCGCGUUGGAUUAGGUAGUUGGUGAGGUAACGGCCCACCAAGCCGACGAUCCAUAGCCGACCUGAGAGGGUGACCGGCCACAUUGGGACUGAGACACGGCCCAAACUCCUACGGGAGGCAGCAGUGGGGAAUAUUGCACAAUGGGGGAAACCCUGAUGCAGCGACGCCGCGUGAGUGAAGAAGUAUUUCGGUAUGUAAAGCUCUAUCAGCAGGGAAGAAAAUGACGGUACCUGCACAAGAAGCCCCGGCUAACUACGUGCC
rnacentral:rRNA from 1 species